AAAGUCGUAACAAGGUUUCCGUAGGUGAACCUGCGGAAGGAUCAUUACUGAAGGGAAGCGGGGGCUCUUGUCCUUGCAACAUCACCCUUGCUUUUUGUUGCUUUGUUUGUUUCCUCGGCAGCUUUACCUGUCAAUGAGGACCUCUUAAAACCUAAAAAAGUAAAAUCAGUCAUUAAAUAAUCUUACAACUUUCAACAAUGGAUCUCUUGGCUCUG
rnacentral:misc_RNA from 1 species